UGUUCUGCACACGGCACCUGUCUGCCCCGGACGAUAUAAAGUCGAAGUCUAGCUAGUUAGAAAUUAAAAGCUGACAACACACCACUGACACCCAGCCAAACUACUACGAUCCAUUCGGAUAAAGAAGGGAGCUCAAAAACUGGAAAAUGGAUCCUUGUGAAUGCUCCAAAACUGGAUCUUGCAACUGCGGUGGAUCCUGCAAGUGCUCCAACUGCGCAUGCACCAGUUGUAAGAAAGCAAGUUGCUGCGACUGCUGUCCCUCCGGCUGCAGCAAGUGUGCCUCAGGCUGCGUGUGCAAGGGCAAGACUUGUGAUACCAGCUGUUGUCAGUGAGGCCUGUGUAUGACAUCACAAUGCAGUCCAUUCUCUAUGACUAUGAAGUUGUAUCAUCUUGAGCAUAGCUUUUGUUUGUCAAAUGUAAGGAAAUAAAUUGCAUUUAACUUA